AAUGGGCGAAAGCCUGACGGAGCAAUACCGCGUGAGGGAUGACGGCCUUCGGGUUGUAAACCUCUUUUUUCAGGGAAGAAUAAAUGACGUGUGGCUGAAGAAUAAGCGUCGGGUAACUCCGCGCCAGCAGCCGCGGUAAUACGGAGGAUGCAGGUGUUAUCCGGAAUCACUGGGCGUAAAGAGUCUGUAGGUUGUUCAAUAAGGCAACUGGUAAAUCUUGAAGCUCAACUUCAAAAUCGCAGUCGAAACUAUUGAACUAGAGUAUAGUAGAGGUUAAGGGAAUUUCCAGUGGAGCGGAGAAAUGUGUUGAGAUUGGAAAGAACACCGAUGGCGAAAGCACUCUACUGGGCUAUUACUGACACUCAGAGACGACAGUUAGGGUAGCAAAUGGGAUUAGAUACCCCAGUAGUCCUAACUGUCAACAAUGGAUACUAGGUGUUGAACAGAUUUACCUGUGCAGUGCUAAAGCUAACGCGUUAAGUAUCCCGCCUGGGAAGUAUGCUCGCAAGAGUGAAACUCAAAA
rnacentral:rRNA from 1 species